UGGGGAAUAUUGGACAAUGGGGGCAACCCUGAUCCAGCGAUGCCGCGUGUGCGAAGAAGGCCUGCGGGUUGUAAAGCACUUUGGUUGGGGAAGAAGGUUGGGCGUUGAAUAGAUGCCUGAAUUGACGUUACCCAAAGAACAAGCACCGGCUAACUACGUGCCAGCAGCCGCGGUAAUACGUAGGGACCAAGCGUUGUUCGGAUUUACUGGGCGUAAAGGGCGCGUAGGCGGCAAUUCAAGUCAUCUGUGAAAUCUCCGGGCUUAACUCGGAACGGUCAGAUGAUACUGCUUUGCUAGAGUGCAGAAGGGGCAAUCGGAAUUCUUGGUGUAGCGGUGAAAUGCGUAGAUAUCAAGAGGAACACCUGAGGUGAAGACGGGUUGCUGGGCUGACACUGACGCUGAGGCGCGAAAGCCAGGGGAGCAAACGGGAUUAGAUACCCACGUAGUCCCUGAGCGGGCUGGCAAGGCGCAU
rnacentral:rRNA from 1 species